CGGUCGUGCAGGUGGCGGGCGGCGACGCCGUGUUCUCGCCGCGGCUGGCCGGGUUCGUGCUCGACGCGUUCGGC
rnacentral:tRNA from 1 species